rnacentral:rRNA from 1 species
AUCGCGGNGANAGAAUGCAGUCGAGCGGAAUUACUUUUGUAGCAAUACAAAAGUAGUUCAGCGGCGUNAGGGUGCGUAACACGUGGGCAAUCUGCCGAGAUGUGGGGGAUAGCUCGCCGAAAGGCGAAUUAAUACCGCAUGUGACCAAGGUUGACAUCAACCUGACGUCAAAGCCGGGGCAACCUGGCGCAUCUUGAGGAGCCCGCGGCCUAUCAGCUAGUUGGCGAGGUAAUGGCUCACCAAGGCAUUGACGGGUAGCUGGUCUAAGAGGACGACCAGUCACACUGGAACUGAGACACGGUCCAGACACCUACGGGUGGCAGCAGUCGAGAAUUUUUCUCAAUGGGGGAAACCCUGAAGGAGCGACGCCGCGUGGAGGAUGAAGGUCUUCGGAUCGUAAACUCCUGUCAUUUGGGAACAAGGCGCACGUAUUAACUGUACGUGCGUUGAUAGUACCAGAAGAGGAAGGGACGGCUAACUCUGUGCCAGCAGCCGCGGUAAUACAGAGGUCCCAAGCGUUGUUCGGAUUCAUUGGGCGUAAAGGGUGUGUAGGUGGCGCCGUAAGUGGGGUGUGAAAUCUCGGGGCUUAACUCCGAAACUGCAUUCCAUACUGCGGUGCUUGANGACUGGAGAGGANACUGGAAUUUACGGUGUAGCAGUGAAAUGCGUAGAUAUCGUAAGGAAGACCAGUGGCCAAGGCGGGUCUCUGGACAGUUCCUGACACUGAGACACGAAGGCCAGGGGAGCAAACGGGGAUUANAUACCCCGGGUAGUCCUGGCAGUUAACGGUGCA